CCUACGGGCGGCUGCAGUGAGGAAUAUUGGUCAAUGGGCGCGAGCCUGAACCAGCCAAGUAGCGUGAAGGAUGAAGGCCCUACGGGUUGUAAACUUCUUUUAUAAAGGAAUAAAGUGAGGCACGUGUGCCUUUUUGUAUGUACUUUAUGAAUAAGGAUCGGCUAACUCCGUGCCAGCAGCCGCGGUAAUACGGAGGGUCCGAGCGUUAUCCGGAUUUAUUGGGUUUAAAGGGAGCGUAGAUGGGUUGUUAAGUCAGUUGUGAACGUUUGCGGCUCAACCGUAAAAUUGCCAUUGAUACUGGCAGUCUUGAGUGCAGUUGAGGUAGGCGGAAUUCGUGGUGUAGCGGUGAAAUGCUUAGAUAUCACGAAGAACUCCGAUUGCGAAGGCAGCUUACUAAACUGCCACUGACAUUGAUGCUCGAAAGUGUGGGUAUCAAACAGGAUUAGAUACCCGAGUAGUC
rnacentral:rRNA from 1 species